rnacentral:rRNA from 1 species
GACGAACGCUGGCGGCGUGCUUAACACAUGCAAGUCGAACGGAAAGGCCCUGCUUUUGUGGGGUGCUCGAGUGGCGAACGUGUGAGUAACACGUGAGUAACCUUCCCUUGACUUUGGGAUAACUUCAGGAAACUGGUGCUAAUACCUGAUAGCAGCUCCUGCUGCAUGGUGGGGUUUGGAACGUUUCGGCGGUUGGGGAUGGACUUGCGGCUUAUCAGCUUGUUGGUGGGGUAGUGGCUUACCAAGGCUUUGAAGGGUAGCCGGCCUGAGAGGGUGAACGGGCACAUGGGGACUGAGAGACGGACCAGACUCGAACGGGAGGCAGCAGGGGGGAAUAUUGCACAAUGGGGGGAAGCCUGAUGCAGCAACGCCGGGAGCGGGAUGAAGGCCUUCGGGGUGUAAACCGCUUUAGCCUGUGACGAAGCGUGAGUGACGGUAAUGGGUAAAGAAGCACCGGCUAACUACGUG